rnacentral:tRNA from 1 species
GAAGUAUAAAAAAUUAAGCUUCUAACUUAAUAAUUAGCAUUUAUGUUAAUACUUCU